rnacentral:rRNA from 1 species
UGGGGAAUAUUGCACAAUGGGCGCAAGCCUGAUGCAGCCAUGCCGCGUGUAUGAAGAAGGCCUUAGGGCUGUAAAGUACUUUCAGCGGGGAUGAAGGGAGUAAAGUUAAUACCUUUGCUCAUUGACGUUACCCGCAGAAGAAGCACCGGCUAACUCCGUGCCAGCAGCCGCGGUAAUACGGGGGGUGCAAGCGUUAAUCGGAAUUACUGGGCGUAAAGCGCACGCAGGCGGUUUGUUAAGUCAGAUGUGAAAUCCCCGGGCUCAACCUGGGAACUGCAUCUGAUACUGGCAAGCUUGAGUCUCGUAGAGGGGGGUAGAAUUCCAGGUGUAGCGGUGAAAUGCGUAGAGAUCUGGAGGAAUACCGGUGGCGAAGGCGGCCCCCUGGACAAAGACUGACGCUCAGGUGCGAAAGCGUGGGGAGCAAACAGG